AUUGAACGCUGGCGGCAGGCCUAACACAUGCAAGUCGAGCGAGCGGCGGAUGGGUGAGUAAUGUAUGGGGACUGCCCGAUAGAGGGUGAUAAGUACUGGAAACGGUGGCUAAUACCGCAUACUAUCGGAUAACCCAUAUGGGAUUAGCUAGGAGGUGGGGUAAAGGCUCACCUAGGCGACGAUAACUAGCUGGUCGGAGAGGAUGAUCAGCCACACUGGGACUGAGACACGGCCCAGACUCCUACGGAGGCAGCAGUGGGGAAUAUUGCACAAUGGGCGCAAGCCUGAUGCAGCCAUGCCGCGUGUAUGAAGAAGGCCUUAGGGUUGUAAAGUACUUUCAGCGAGGAGGCGUUAACCGCAGAAGAAGCACCGGCUAAAUCCGUGCCAGCAGCAGCGGUAAUUC
rnacentral:rRNA from 1 species